GACGAACGCUGGCGGCGUGCCUAAUACAUGCAAGUCGAGCGGAACACUUGGAGCUUGCUCCAAGCGUUUAGCGGCGGACGGGUGAGUAACACGUGGGCAACCUGCCCUGCAGAUCGGGAUAACUCCGGGAAACCGGUGCUAAUACCGAAUAGUUUGAGGCCUCUCCUGAGGCUUCACGGAAAGACGGUUUCGGCUGUCACUGCAGGAUGGGCCUGCGGCGCAUUAGCUAGUUGGUGGGGUAACGGCCAACCAAGGCCACCAUGCGUAGCCGACCUGAGCGGGUGACCGGCCACACUGGGACUGAGACACGGCCCAGACUCCUACGGGAGGCAGAAGUAGGGAAUCUUCCGCAAUGGACGCAAGUCUGACGGAGCAACGCCGCGUGAGUGACGAAGGUUUUCGGAUCGUAAAACUCUGUUGUGAGGGAAGAACACGUACCAACUAACUAUUGGUACCUUGACGGUACCUCACCAGAAAGCCACGGCUAACUACGUGCCAGCAGCCGCGGUAAAAC
rnacentral:rRNA from 1 species